rnacentral:rRNA from 1 species
GACGUAGGGCGCGAGCGUUGUCCGGAUUUAUUGGGCGUAAAGAGCUCGUAGGCGGCUUGUCGCGUCGACUGUGAAAACCCACGGCUCAACUGUGGGCUUGCAGCCGAUACGGGCAGGCUAGAGUUCGGUAGGGGAGACUGGAAUUCCUGGUGUAGCGGUGAAAUGCGCAGAUAUCAGGAGGAACACCAAUGGCGAAGGCAGCUUGCUGGGACGGUACUGACGCUGAGACGCGAAAGCGUGGGGAGCAAACAGG